UCGGUCGCUCUUGUCCGG
rnacentral:snRNA from 1 species